rnacentral:lncRNA from 11 species
AGAAGCCUCUGGGACGAAGGGAGCAUGGCCAGGAUGGAGCCUUGUCUCCGAAGGAAGAAAGAAACGGCAGGCAGCACAGACGGAAGGUUUUUUGAGCCGUGGCUGGGGGACAGGCAGGAGGCAAGGCAAACAGUACCGAGUGCCAAUUAGAAACGUAAUGACUGUACACAGAAGACAGCACAGGCCUACAAAUCUAUUCAAGAUCUAUGAAGAUGUCAAUGAAACUGUGGAUAAAGAAGAAGAAAAAUUAUGUGAGAAUAUUUGAUAUGAAGUCAUUCACUGGAAAACUAUAAGGAAAUGUAAGCCGUUGUAGAAGAAAUAAUGCUGUGAAUCAAAGACUGACUUGCAAGAAAGGGGGAAGAAGCAAGCAGUUGUCAUCUGGAAAAGCUUAUAAUGAACCCCAGCAGUGUUCUUGGAACUGGAUUAAUUAAUGAAUAUAUUAAUCUGCUUUGAAAAGUAGAGCCUGAGCAGUCAUUUGGCAUUUGUGUGCAUGGACAAAACAAAUCCAUUAAACCCAUCAAGAUUGAAAGUGGCUUUUUUGAUGCAAGUAUACUUUGAUGUUUUAUUUUAAGUCAAAGAGAUCACACCCAGCCUUAGAUUCUGCAUAUGGAAAAAAAGAUAUUCAUCUUCAUCCACC